AGUGAACGCUGGCGGUAGGCCUAACACAUGCAAGUCGAACGGCAGCACAGUAAGAGCUUGCUCUUACGGGUGGCGAGUGGCGGACGGGUGAGGAAUACAUCGGAAUCUACUUUUUCGUGGGGGAUAACGUAGGGAAACUUACGCUAAUACCGCAUACGACCUACGGGUGAAAGCAGGGGAUCUUCGGACCUUGUGCGAUUGAAUGAGCCGAUGUCGGAUUAGCUAGUUGGCGGGGUAAAGGCCCACCAAGGCGACGAUCCGUAGCUGGUCUGAGAGGAUGAUCAGCCACACUGGAACUGAGACACGGUCCAGACUCAUACGGGAGGCAGCAGUGGGGAAUAUUGGACAAUGGGCGCAAGCCUGAUCCAGCCAUACCGCGUGGGUGAAGAAGGCCUUCGGGUUGUAAAGCCCUUUUGUUGGGAAAGAAAAGCAGCAGGUUAAUACCCCGCUGUUCUGACGGUACCCAAAGAAUAAGCACCGGCUAACUUCGUG
rnacentral:rRNA from 1 species